UACGUAGGGUGCGAGCGUUAAUCGGAAUUACUGGGCGUAAAGCGUGCGCAGGCGGUGAUGUAAGACAGGUGUGAAAUCCCGGGGCUCAACCUCGGAACUGCAUUUGUGACUGCAUCGCUGGAGUGCGGCAGAGGGGGAUGGAAUUCCGCGUGUAGCAGUGAAAUGCGUAGAUAUGCGGAGGAACACCGAUGGCGAAGGCAAUCCCCUGGGCCUGCACUGACGCUCAUGCACGAAAGCGUGGGAAGCAAACAGG
rnacentral:rRNA from 1 species